rnacentral:lncRNA from 1 species
UAUGGAUGGAGAGAGUGUGUGUGUGUGUGUGUGUGUGUGUGUGUAGCUGUACUGUGUAGGUUCCAGCCUCUCCUCCGCUGUUGGGAAGAAGCCCUGCUUGCCUGGAUCUGUCCCAGCCUCCCGGGAGCCCCGCAGAUCCAGGCUGUAGAACAGGCUGGAUGAUGGAGGAGGCCCCCGGCUGUCAGGCACGCAGGAGUGUAGACGGUGAAGAAAGAAGGAUCCAUACCCUCCAAUGCUCUCAGCUAAUAGAGAAAGCAGACAGACUUCCUGUAGUUCUCUGGACAUGCCUCUUCUUAUGUCUGGCUUCCUGGGCCGUGGGUGUCAGAAGACGUCUGUCCUUGGAAAGCUCUAACGAACUCCAGCCUGAUUUGCUGACAAGGCCUUGAGAUGUUAUUUCUGCACGGUUGCUUGGGUUUUAAGAAGAGGUUGUUGGAAGACAGGACAUUUUAAAGCCGUAAUGGUAAGCAGAAGCAGAAAGACAGACCUAGGUUACAGAAUAUGGGGACUCUCCCCUUUCUGAGAGCUCCUUUAUUUCCUGAAUUAGAAACACGAGAAUGUUUCCUGUAAGUUCUCUAUUACAAAGUGAGGGCAGAAGCACAUGACAAUAAAAAUAGUACACCCAAAUUCA